AGCCAAUGUUAACCAGAUUAAAAUAAAAUAUUAUAACGUAAAUGCAGUAUAAAACAGCAUUAUAAUAUAUUUAUUGAUGGGUUAGCAAACAACGCUAACUUAAAAUAACUUUAUUUAGAUAAUUCGAUUAGUUUUCGAUUCUGAACGAACUAUCGAUGUAUACAGUCCCUCACAUUCAUUCAUUUUUAUUUUUAGUCUGUGGUCGCAAUAUCAUUUCUGCACAACACUUAAGAAAUUAAAGAAUGCGAAACGUCAAAAUUAGCAUUUUAGUUUUCUCUGUGGAUCUAAAUUUUUGUUUUCAUCUAGUUUUUAUUAAAAAAAAUUGAUAAAAUCAUGGAUAAAUUGAAUGAAUGUUAUGUUUAUAAUUUACUUAAGAUGUUGUUCGUGGACCGCAAGGCGUUUGUGCGUAUUUUUAACUGUUUUAUCAUCUGAAGAAGUGUUAACGAAGUUACGUGUUGGCGAAAAGGUGUGUUUGUUUAUGUUUUGGAUCAAUUCAUGAAUUCAAUCGGAACGGACUUUUUUAUUUCGACUGCUAUUAAUAAUGGAACAUCGAUAACGCUAUUUACGAAGAUCCUGGUAUUCCUACUGGUAGUAGGUAAUCGAAGUUUUACUAUUGACCAUGAAUUGAAUACGAAACCCAUGAAUCCCUCUGAAUUGAGAUGUGUUAAUUGUGGCAUCAAUGUAAAUCAAAGGAGUAGGCAUAGUAGCCUUGAAUUAAUAGAGAUUAUGUUAGUAAUAUAACACUGGAUUGCACCUCAAGUGGUGACUGAGACCACCAGUGUGCCUUUUUUGCUGGACUCCUAGUCACUCCAAUGGGACUAAUGAUGAUUAACCUACUAAUGAUGGUCACCGUUGUCGUCUUUGUAUUAGCUGUGGAUGCUCUUUGAUGAGAACAAGAUCUCACAGGCUACGUACUGACCUAAAACGGGAAAUAUGCAUAUAAAUCAUAAUAAUAGAGAUGAUUAUGCCAUAACAGCUGCAUGGAUCUGAUGAAAUCUGCCACCCCUGUUGACAAAGAAGUGAUCGAUUGAGAGCACAUGCUCUUGAAUCACUUCAACAGUUACUUACCAGUUAUUGUUUUACCGAACUGGAAAAGAAGAUUAGAUACCCAAGGCCAUUAUUUUUUUCUAGACUAACUCACUGGAAAGAUUAUUAUUAGAUAAGAUAAGCCUUUAUGAACUGAAUUAAAUUACAUUAAUGCUAUGUACAUAAUAUUAUAUUUCAAACAAAUAAAUAAUAUUUUAGUUUUUGA